rnacentral:lncRNA from 1 species
CUCACCCAUUUCAAGCCAUGCGUGGAAUAAUUUACAUCACAGAACACCAGGGCCAAGAGUUCUGGAGCAGUUGGAAAGGGCAGUUGUGAACGGCAGUUGGACGCAGGAAUGAAAUCCUGAAGAGAUGCCCAGAGGAGGGGCAUACCCAGAAAAGGCAGAGGGAAGGGUGAGUCUUAAGGAGAGAUUUUUCUCUGUUCAAACUUCCUUCUCCCAUUAGUUCCUCCAAACCAAUCAUAAGGCCUAACAGCUGUGGUAUUCCCUCCUGCCACGGGGAAGGACACUUUCUCUACUCUAGAAGAAUGUGGAAGGGACCCAGGCAGGAGUCAUUUGAGGUCACAUUGGCACCAAUGUUCCUGCACACAUGACUUUUGAAAACAAGACUGGGAAGGAAACAGGAAAACUAUCAUCAACUGGGUAUGCUGGAUUUGUUACACAAGCCAGGCAUGGUGACGAGGUGACAUCUGUAUUUUCAGCCCUUGGGAGGCAGAGGCAGAAGGCCUGAUGCAAGUUUAAGGACAGCCUGGUCUACCUAAUGAGUACCAGGACAGCCUAGGCUACAUACGAACCUGCCUCAAACAAAUGCCACAAAACAGAAGCUAUGUCCUGAUUACAAGCAUUAGCCACAGCUCAUGUCAUUAUAAACCACGCCUCCCAGACAUCACAAUCACACGGAAUAAACUGUCCAAUUAUGAUGUAUCUUUAGGCCUAUACAGUAUAUAUUAUUUCUUUACUUCAACAUUAUGAGCAUCAUUCUGGAAUAAGCACUCUGACAUCAGUAGGGAUGAAGAGUGGAGCUGUCGAGGAGGAUGGUAGCCAGAACAGCCCCUGAAGGGAUGAAGCAGCAAGACUGUAGGAAGCCUAUGCGCAGUGAACAGUGAGCGGGUUGGUAAGGGCAGCGGCUCACUGUCUCAGCUGCUCCUCCAGGUCACUCUGUUCCAGGGAGCGUGACAUCACACUGGGGAAACAGGCAGUGCUUUACGUAAACAAGGACAUCAAUAAUCACUGUCCAGUAACUAGCCUUUUCCACCAUACUCUACCUCAAGCUCACGGAUUAGAAAAGAUGAUAUUUUCAGCUGUAGUGUGCAGGAGAAAGGAAGCUGAAGGUGUCUGGGCAGGAGAGAAGACUGGCGGAUGUGAGGGUUUGAAGAACAGCCUCCAUAGGCUCACCAGGGAGUAGCACUAUUUGAAAAAAAUCAUAAGGGCUAGGAGGUGUGGCCUUGUUGGAGGAAUUGUGUCACUGGGGGUGGGCUUUGUUGGAGGAAGUGUGUCGCUGGGGGUGGGCUUUGAGAUUUCACACUGGGCCUGGUUGGUCUCUUGACCUGUGCACUAGGAUGUAGCUCUCAGCAACUAUUCCCACACCACUGAGCUCCGCCAUGCUCCUUGCCAAGAUGAUAGUGGACUAAGCCUCUGAAACUGUGAGCAAGAAAUUAAAAGCUUUCUUUACUCCCGCGCAGCACUUGGGAGGCAGUGGCAAGCAGAUCACUGAGAUCGAGGCUAACCUGAUCAGCGAGUUCAAGGAUAGCCAGGGCUACACAAAGAAACCCUGUCUAGGGUUGGGGUAGAGGGCUGAUCAUAGAGUCUCUUCACUGUACUAGAAGAGCAACUAAGAUAGUAAAGUGCUUACCUACAAGACUAAUGCCCUGAGUUUGAACCCCCGGAUCUCUCAUGAAAACUAGACAGAGCUGUACACAUUUGGACUCCCACUGUCUCCCUGGGGACAUGGGGAGCAGAGACAGGAGAAUGGCCACAAGUUCGUGGCCAGCCAAUGUUCACAGUAGUGAACAGAAAGAGCCACUGUCAAGGACUGACACCCAAGGUUAUCCCCUGAGACACAUUCAAACACAUAGACACAUAUGCAUCACACACAGGAGGAAGACUCAAUGUGCCUGGCUCUGGCUUUGCAGCUACUGUUCAGUUAAACCCGUACAUGCUCACUGUGUUAACCAGCUAAAAGCCUUCAGCAAAAGGAACAUAUUGUAAAAUCCCUCAAAGGCUCAAAAGGUGAUUCCAGAUGUGGGCAGGCCCUGGAUCAAGUGCAGUCUGCAGGCCUUUAAAAUUAAGUCCUGCCUGGGUGUGGUGGCGCACACAGUAAUUCCAAUAACUCAGAGGCAGAGGCAGGAGCAUCACAGUACAUUUCAGGCCAGCCUGGCCUACAUAGGGAGCUCCAGGCUAGACAGGGAUACAGAAUGAAACCUUGCUUCAAGAACAAUUUCAGCCAUGUGUGGUGACGUAUGCCUUUAAUUCCCGCUCUCAGGAGGCAGAAGCAGGUAGAUUCCAUGUCCAAUUUGGUUUACACAGAGAGUUCUAGGGUAGGCAGUGCUACACAGAGAGGUCCUGUCUCAAAAACGAGUAACAACAAAAACAAUUUUAAAAAAACCAAAAAGUAAACCCUGCUUGAAAUCAAGAGGGAUAGUAAUAAGGCUAAUAUAUUACGCAUGUCAGCAAAAAGAAUGAACCACACGUGGGCAGCAGACUGACCAAUAGUGAAGGAACAGUAUCUGGGAAGGCUGUGCAGAGGCUGGGGACCCACAGGAGACAAGGCUCAUUUAUUUUGGAGAAUGCCUUAAAUAUAAUAAAAGCAAUAAAUCUUAGCUGUUGAACCCAAGGCCUCAUGUAGGCUAACACAUGCUCUGCCACUGAAAAAUGCAUCUCUAUAGCUUUCCCAGAGGCUCUGGAGCUAGGUCAAGUAUAAGAACCAUUCAACCAUCACAGAAGUAACGGUUGCACAGUUCGUCCAACUCCAAAAGCAGUUCCGUCUUGUCUAAGCAGUACCACUUGAAUGCUUCCAUAGGCUGGCCUUAACUUGCUAAAUAACCAAGGAUGACCUUAGAUUUUGGCCUUAACUUGCUAA